AAUUUUAAGGUCAAGCUACAAAGGGCGCAUGGUGAAUGCCUUGGCACUAGGAGCCGAAGAAGGACGCGAUAAGCUGCGAUAAGCCUUGGGUAGCCGCAAAUAGGCUGAGAUCCAGGGAUUUCCGAAUGAGGAAACUCACAUGGGUAACCCCAUGUAUCAUGCACUGAAUACAUAGGUGUAUGAGGGUAAACCCGGGGAACUGAAACAUCUAAGUACCCGGAGGAAGAGAAAGAAAAAUCGAUUUCCUAAGUAGCGGCGAGCGAACGGGAAAGAGCCCAAACCAGAAACUUGUUUCUGGGGUUGUGGAUAGAUCAUAAAAGAAGAGGUAUCUUAAUCGAAGAGGGCUGGAACGCCCUACCAUAGAAGGUAAUAGUCCUGUAGGUAAAAAGAGAAAACUUCGAGAUCUAAUCCAGAGUACCACGAGACACGUGAAACCUUGUGGGAAGCAGGGAGGACCACCUCCCAAGGCUAAAUACUACCUAGUGACCGAUAGUGAAGCAGUACCGUGAGGGAAAGGUGAAAAGAACCCCGGAAGGGGAGUGAAAUAGAACCUGAAACCGUGUGCCUACAACCGAUCGGAGCACGUUAAAGUGUGACGAUGUGCUUUUUGUAGAACGAGCCAGCGAGUUACGCUAUGUAGCAAGGUUAAGUACUUAAGGUAUGGAGCCGAAGGGAAACCGAGUCUGAAAAGGGCGAAAAGUUGCAUGGUGUAGACCCGAAACCGGGUGACCUAUCCAUGGCCAGGUUGAAGCGAGAGUAAAAUCUCGUGGAGGACCGAACCACGUUGGUGUUGAAAAACCAUGGGAUGAGCUGUGGAUAGCGGAGAAAUUCCAAUCGAACUCGGAGAUAGCUGGUUCUCCUCGAAAUAGCUUUAGGGCUAGCGUCGUGUAAUUGAGUAAUGGAGGUAGAGCACUGAAUGGGCUAGGGGCUAUAGUAGUUACCGAACCCUAUCAAACUCCGAAUGCCAUAUACUUGUAUCACGGCAGUCAGACUGCGAAUGAUAAGAUCCGUAGUCAAAAGGGAAACAGCCCAGACCAUCAGCUAAGGUCCCAAAGUGUAAGUUAAGUGGAAAAGGAUGUGGGAUUUCUAAGACAACUAGGAUGUUGGCUUAGAAGCAGCCACUCAUUUAAAGAGUGCGUAAUAGCUCACUAGUCAAGAGAUCCUGCGCCGAAGAUGUCCGGGGCUCAAACUUACCACCGAAGCUAUGGGUGUACACUAUGUGUACGCGGUAGAGGAGCUUUCUGUAUGGGUUGAAGUCGUACCGUAAGGAGCGGUGGACUGUACAGAAGUGAGAAUGCUGGCAUAAGUAGCGAGAAAUAAGUGAGAAUCUUAUUGGCCGAAAACCUAAGGUUUCCUGAGGAAGGUUCGUCCGCUCAGGGUUAGUCGGGACCUAAGCCGAGGCCGAAAGGCGUAGGUGAUGGACAAUCGGUUGAUAUUCCGAUACCACCUAUUUACGUUUGAGAAAUGGGGUGACGCAGUAGGAUAAGAUGUGCGCACUAUUGGAUGUGCGUCUAAGCACUUAGGCAUGCUUGAUAGGCAAAUCCGUCGAGCUAAGCUGAGGUGUGAUGGGGAGCCAUUUAUGGCGAAGUAUCUGAUUCCACACUGCCAAGAAAAGCCUCUAUCGAGUGAAUAGGUGCCCGUACCGCAAACCGACACAGGUAGGUGAGGAGAGAAUCCUAAGGCCAUCGGAAGAAUUGCUGUUAAGGAACUCGGCAAAUUGACCCCGUAACUUCGGGAGAAGGGGUGCCUACGAAAGUAGGCCGCAGAGAAUAGGCCCAAGCAACUGUUUAGCAAAAACACAGGUCUCUGCUAAAGCGAAAGCUGAUGUAUAGGGGCUGACGCCUGCCCGGUGCUGGAAGGUUAAGGGGAACACUUAGCGUAAGCGAAGGUGUGAACUUAAGCCCCAGUAAACGGCGGCCGUAACUAUAACGGUCCUAAGGUAGCGAAAUUCCUUGUCGGGUAAGUUCCGACCCGCACGAAUGGCGUAAUGAUUUGGGCACUGUCUCAACAGCAAAUCCGGC
rnacentral:rRNA from 1 species